AUAGAACGCUGGCGGAAUGCUUUACACAUGCAAGUCGAACGGCAGCACGGACUUCGGUCUGGUGGCGAGUGGCGAACGGGUGAGUAAUGUAUCGGAACGUGCCCAGUCGGGGGGGAUAACGUAGUGAAAAUUACGCUAAUACCGCAUACGAUCUGUGGAUGAAAGCGGGGGAUCGCAAGACCUCGCGCGAUUGGAGCGGCCGAUAUCAGAUUAGGUAGUUGGUGGGGUCAAGGCCCACCAAGCCAACGAUCUGUAGCUGGUCUGGGAGGACGAGCAGCCACACUGGAACUGAGACACGGUCCAGACUCCUACGGGAGGCAGCAGUGGGGAAUUUUGGACUAUGGGCGAAAGCCAGAUCCAGCCAGUCCGCGUGCAGGAUGAAGGCCCUCGGGUUGUAAGCUGCUUUUGUACAGAACGAAAAGGUUUCUACUAAUACUAGGAGCUCAUGACGGUACUGUAAGAAUAAGCACCGGCUAACUACGUGCCAGCCGCCGCAGUAA
rnacentral:rRNA from 1 species